GUAGUUAGCCGGGGCUUCCUCCUCAGAUACCGUCACUUCCUUCGUCUCUGAGGACAGAGGUUUACAACCCGAAAGCCUUCUUCCCUCACGCGGCGUUGCUGGGUCAGGCUUGCGCCCAUUGCCCAAUAUUCCCCACUGCUGCCUCCCGUAGGAGUCUGGACCGUGUCUCAGUUCCAGUGUGGCCGAUCAGCCUCUCAGCUCGGCUACCCAUCGUUGGCUAGGUGGGCCGUUACCCCGCCUACUACCUAAUGGGACGCGAGACCCUCUCUCUGCGGAUUUCUCCUUUGACCUCUGUGCCAUGCGGCACUGUGGUCUUAUGCGGUAUUAGCACCUGUUUCCAAGUGUUAUCCCCCUCAAAGAGGCAGGUUCCUCACGCGUUACUCACCCGUUCGCCACUCAGUCUAUACAUGUUUCAAUCCGAAGAAAUCAACUCGUAUAGCUUCGUUCAACUUGCAUGUGUUAAGCACGCCGCCAGCGUUCGUCCUGAACACGAGUCAACUAACUCGACGUCGAGACGGGCGGUCGGCGACGGACGGCGAUAG
rnacentral:rRNA from 1 species